rnacentral:rRNA from 1 species
GACGAACCGUGCAAACGUUAUUCGGAAUCACUGGGCUUAAAGGGCGCGUAGGCGGGCCGCCAGGUCCGGGGUGAAAGCCUCCAGCUCAACUGGAGAAGUGCCUCUGAUACUGCGGGCCUCGAGGGGGAUAGGGGCGUGCGGAACUCAGGGUGGAGCGGUGAAAUGCGUAGAUAUCCUGAGGAACACCGGUGGCGAAAGCGGCGCGCUGGAUCCCUUCUGACGCUGAGGCGCGAAAGCCAGGGGAGCAAACGGG